CACGUAGGCACCAAGCGUUGUCCGGAUUUAUUGGGCGUAAAGAGCUCGUAGGCGGUUCGGUAAGUCGGGUGUGAAAACUCUGGGCUCAACCCAGGAAGUGCACCCGAAACUGUGUGGCUUGAGUACUGGAGAGGUUGGUGGAAUUCUCGGUGUAGAGGUGAAAUUCGUAGAUAUCGAGAGGAACACCGGUGGCGAAGGCGGCCAACUGGACAGAUACUGACGCUGAGACACGAAAGCGUGGGGAGCAAACAGG
rnacentral:rRNA from 1 species